GGAUGCUUGGCAGAGUGGCUGAUUGCACCACCUCGCUAAGGUGGCAAUCCCGUGAGGGGUUCGGGGGUUCGACUCCCUCAGCAUCCG
rnacentral:tRNA from 1 species